ACCGAAUAGAUACCCGGGUAGUCCACGCCCUAAACGAUGCGAACUGGAUGUUGGGUACAUUACGGUACUCAGUGUCGAAAGCUAAACGCGUUAAGUUCGCCGCCUGGGGAGUACGGUCGCAAGACUGAAACUCAAAGGAAUUGACGGGGGCCCGGCACAAGCGGUGGAGUAUGUGGUUUAAUUACGAUGCAACGCGAAGAACCUUACCUUGGCCGUUGUACAUCUGUCGAAUCCUGCAGAGAUGCGGGAGGUGCCGCAAGGAACGACAAGACAGGUGCUGCAUGGCGUGUCGUCAGCUCGUGUCGUGAGAUGUUGGGUUAAGUCCCGCAACGAGCGCAACCCUUCGUCCCUACGUUGCCAGCACGUAAUGGUGGGAACUCUAGGGAGACUGCCGGUGACAAACCGGAGG
rnacentral:rRNA from 1 species